rnacentral:rRNA from 1 species
CCUACGGGAGGCAGCAGUCGAGAAUCAUUCACAAUGGGGGAAACCCUGAUGGUGCGACGCCGCGUGGGGGAAUGAAGGUCUUCGGAUUGUAAACUCCUGUCAUGUGGGAGCAAAUUAAAAAGAUAGUACCACAAGAGGAAGAGACGGCUAACUCUGUGCCAGCAGCCGCGGUAAUACAGAGGUCUCAAGAGUUGUUCGGAAUCACUGGGCGUAAAGCGUGCGUAGGCGGUUUCGUAAGUCGUGUGUGAAAGGCGCGGGCUCAACCCGCGGACGGCACAUGAUACUGCGAGACUAGAGUAAGGGAGGGGGAACCGGAAUUCGCGGUGUAGCAGUGAAAUGCGUAGAUAUCGAGAGGAACACUCGUGGCGAAGGCGGGUUCCUGGACAUUAACUGACGCUGAGGCACGAAGGCCAGGGGAGCGAAAGGGAUUAGAUACCCGAGUAGUC